rnacentral:rRNA from 1 species
UACGAAGGGGGCUAGCGUUGCUCGGAAUCACUGGGCGUAAAGGGCUCGUAGGCGGUUUGUCACGUCGGGAGUGAAAACUCGGGGCUCAACCCCGAGCCUGCUUCCGAUACGGGCUGACUAGAGGUAUGCAGGGGAGAACGGAAUUCCUGGUGUAGCGGUGAAAUGCGCAGAUAUCAGGAGGAACACCGGUGGCGAAGGCGGCAUCCUGGACCGGCAUUGACGCUGAGGCGCGAAAGCCAGGGGAGCAAACGGG